AUUGAACGCUGGCGGCAGGCCUAACACAUGCAAGUCGAGCGGAUGAAGGGAGCUCGCUCCUGGAUUCAGCGGCGGACGGGUGAGUAAUGCCUAGGAAUCUGCCCGGUAGUGGGGGAUAACGUCCGGAAACGGGCGCUAAUACCGCAUACGUCCUGAGGGAGAAAGUGGGGGAUCUUCGGACCUCACGCUAUCAGAUGAGCCUAGGUCGGAUUAGCUAGUUGGUGGGGUAAAGGCCUACCAAGGCGACGAUCCGUAACUGGUCUGAGAGGAUGAUCAGUCACACUGGAACUGAGACACGGUCCAGACUCCUACGGGAGGCAGCAGUGGGGAAUUUUGGACAAUGGGCGAAAGCCUGAUCCAGCCAUGCCGCGUGUGUGAUGAAGGUCUUCGGAUUGUAAAGCACUUUUAGUUGGGAAGAAGAGCAGUAUGUUAAUACCUUGCUGUUUUGACGUUACCAACAGAAUAAGCACCGGCUAACUACGUG
rnacentral:rRNA from 1 species